GUGCAUGACGGGAGUAGGCGGCGGGGCUUGUGGGAAAUGUAGUCUGGCGACACCGCCCUGCUCUCCAUUCCUGUAAUGGCUGCUUUCAGUCAGGCUGUGUCACGAGUAACCUCUUAGCCUCAGCAUCCGGAAGUUCCAAAGAGAAUAUUUCACGUUGGAUAGAAUUUUACAUAUACCAUUGUUUUUGGCAGGUUCAGCCCUCCAGAUCCUAACAUCAUGAAUUCAGUUCCAACACAACUGAUCUUAGUCCUUACUUCGCUGCUUUUGAUCCUGCCUGGCGUUGAAGCAGUCGAAGCUGGAGAUGCGAUUGCACUCUUAUUAGGUGUGGUUCUCAGUGUUACAGGCAUCUGUGCUUGCUUGGGGAUAUAUGCAAGAAAGCGAAAUGGACAGAUAUGACUUUGAAGGACUCUUCUGAAUUAGACUUCACCCUGACCAUUGUGCUGAAAACCCUUGUGCUGUUGAGGCCGAACCCAAGAUUUGCUCUCACCUGUCCUCAGAAAGAGGAUUACAGUUAGCUGAGGGUUAACACCCUCAGUUAAGAGAAUGCUUUCCUGUUCAUACUUGUUUCUCCUAUGAUGGGAGCAGAUGGGGUGGGGGGAGAGGCUCUUAACAACAAAGAGUGCAGUAAUAAUGUGGCCCAUAAUUUGUAUUUGCUGCUUGGGAGGUGGCCAAAGCGAGAGGGCUUAAGUUUGCAAAAGUAUUAUCUCAUACUUUGAAAGUGUUUGUUCAGAAUCUAGUAAAUCUACAUCGUUAUUAUAAUCACUGCCUCUUGCAUUCUGGGGGUUCUCUCUUUCAUUUGGGGGGUUGGAUUGGGUUUUGGAUUUGUUUUUUUGUUGUUACUGUUUUCUUUUUAAUGCUUCUGUUUUUAACAUAGUUGUACUUAGAUCUUAAUAGCCAAAAAUUGAAACUUUUAACUCUGAGGAAAAGUUUAAUAAAAAUGUAUUAAAUGUAUCUAAUACUAAAAUGGUGAAAAUAUUUGUUAAAAAAAUAACUAUACAUUAAUUGAGUGCCUUCUCCUUUGUGGGAUGUUUUUUUUUUUCAGAUACAUAGCCAUUAUACUGUCAGUUCACCUAUUGUUUUGGCCUGCUUGUAUCCAGAUGCGAGCUAAUUAUUUCUAAUCUGAGUGAAGAGGGGCUGGUUAUGUUACCUUCAAGGAUCACAAUGGGUGCGAAAUGGGUAUCUAUGAGAUAGAAGAGACUGCUGUUAGAAAAUCCACAAAUAUGAAAGGAAAUGUAUUGUCCUUCUUUGAUUUAUAUACCAGCGUUUGUUGUAUACCCUCCUUGCCCUAGUAAUUCAAAGAGUUCCCAUACCAGUAGAUUACAGAGGGUUUUAGUUCACAUUGUUGGGCCCUGGACAAAUAUUUUCGUUAGAAUUUGUAUUUUGAACGUUAUAGUUGGAAGAAAAAGUACUCAAAUUGUUAGUACACAAGAAUUACUUCAGGCCCUUAAUUCCUAAGUUGCUGUCCGUAUUGCAGAAGAGUAGAGAAAGUGGGACCUGAAGAUCCGUGCUUGCAAGUAUCUUCACACCUUUAUUUGACUCUGGAGAUUUGGCCAGCAUGAAGUAAUCUCAGUGAGUCGAUCUAUGUUUUCAGUGGAAGUAGAUAAUCAAGUUGUUCCCCAGAAUACACUGUCCAACCUCUCACUCUCCAGGUAACCUUAAAAGCCUUGACUUUUGUCAGGAAGCAGGCUGUGGCCAAUGAAAUUCAGUAUGUAGACCCUUUCACCAAGUGAGCUGAUAUGGUUUGCCUGUGAGUUCUGGUUAGCAGUAAAAAGCAGUGACGAAUGCUUGCAUUAUAAAGAAAUGGAAACUAAGUGGGUUUUACUGGGUUUCGAAGGUAUUUUAUCUUUUCACCAGAGAAGACACUAACAGUCUCUGUCUGGGUAAAUUGGCACUUAAUAAAAAUCGUUUGCACGUGCUAGGGAAAAAAGGAACCAUACAGGUGGCAGGACAGCUGUCAACUUUUGUGCACCAGCUCUUUGGAGCAGAUUUAGAGAGGCUGACUUCCCUUCCUUGCAAGUCUCAACUUCUCCUCUGGGAUGGGAAAAAUCUAAUGUAAAGUACGUUGUAAGUCACAGUCACCUCCACGUACUAAUUUUAGAAUAUUCAAAAUAAUGCUACAGGAAAACAGUCUUUCACUGACAGCGUGUUUCUACAAGUACGCCAAAGAAUGUUUGCAAAACCUGUCGUUUCCUAUUUUAUUCUUAAAAGCAGAGGUAGAGGGAUGUGCUUUCUAAAAAUAGCUUUGCUGGGCCAAGGCAAUGACUGAGUGGAUAAAGGUGCUUCCAUACCCCCAUGACCUGCCUGAGCUGGCUCCUCAUGACCAGCAACCACGUCAUGGGAGAAAAAACAGCUCCCACAACUGACAACACCCUGACCGCCAUAACUGUUCCCAACCUCUGACAUUCACACUAGGUAAUUAGUGCUUGAUAUAGUAAAAAAAAACGGGGGGUGGUGGGAACUUAAUUUCUUACUGAGACUGUGAUAUUUUUGCUUAAACACAGAAACCUGGGCUGUGGAUAUGGCUCCAUUGAUAACAAUGCUUCCUGUACGAGCAUGAAGCCCUAACAUACAUGGGUAAAAUCUCAACCUCAGGGGUAGAGACAGGCGUGUCCCUGGGGCUUCCUGCCCAGCCACUAGCCACUGCAUUGAGUUCCAGAUUCUGGGAGAGGCCCGCCCCCCCAAAAUAAGGCUGACUGAGGAAACGGCCCAGUGUUCUGUCCUUCCUGUGCGCACACUCAUUUACACACCAUACACACACACAAAGCCGUAUAGUAACUCUUAAUCAUCGGCUCCUUUGAGAAUCUGAUAAAUGCUCUUGUUUUUUUUCUUUUUUCCCUAACUUAAUAUCUGUACACGCUCGCAUUUUCUGAUUAGUUUCUCAAAAUGUGCAGCGCUAAAGCCCAACUAGGAAUCGACAAUUACAAUUUUCUGGUUUGCUUGUUCAUUUGUUCUCAAGUUCAAAUUCUUUCCAAUUGCACAGUUGAUUACGUUGCUCGCAGGGAGAACACCUGUAGAGUUGACAGGUGUCCCUCGGGUGCCUGGCAUAGUGUCUGAUGUUUGAUAAGUGUUCUGCUAGUUAGAGGAGCCGAGUUUAAUUUUAAAAAGCAGAAGCAAUGAAGAAUUUAAGGUCUUUGUCAGUAUUUUUGAUGUCUGCCUCACAGCUUUCAGGACUUGAAUUUUACUCUUUAGAAGGUGGAAUGCAAUAUGUCUUGACCUGGGGAUCUUUAGUUUAUCCUAGAUGGGAUUUUCUGAGUUCUUAAAUUUGGAAGUUUACAUUUUCCCUAAAAUUUAGGGAAAAAAUUUUUCCAUUAUUUCUUCAAAUACUUUCGCAGCUUGGCCAUUUCUGCUUCUAUGUUAGGACUCCAGUGGCAUAAAUGUAGAUGGUUUAUUGUGGACCUAGCAAUUUAUUAGCCUUUUUUUUCUGUUAUUCGGAUUGUGUAAAAUCUAGUGCUCUAGCACCAGUUUCACUAAUCCUACAGUUGUAUUUUUCACUCCAGUUCUAGGGAAUCCAUUGUCUUCAUCCAGCCUUUAAGAUAUUAUGCAGGAGGUACAUAGACAUUUGUACAGGCAAAACAUGUGAAUGUAUAAGAUAAAAACUUUCAAAUAAAUAUUAAACAAAUUAAAAGUAAAUGUAUGUUCCCCAUGAUAAUGAGUAUAAAAGAAGCUCCAAGUUUGAUUGACUAGCCUUAACAUGAUUUACACACCUCCAGAAUUCCCAGGGACUAAACUACCAACCAAAGAGUACACAUGAGGGACCCACGACUCCAACUUCAUAUGUAGCAGAGGAUGGCCUUAUCUGCCAUCAGUGGGAGGGGAGGCCCUUGAUCCUGUGAGGGCUUGAUGCCCCAGUGGAAGGGAAUGCUAGGGUGGUGAGGCAGGAGUGUGUGAGUGGGUGAUCAGGGUGGGAGAGCACCCUCAGAAACAGGGGGGAGAGGGAUGGGAUAGGGAGUUUGCAGAGGGGAAACUGGGAAGGGGGAUAACAUUCGAAA
rnacentral:lncRNA from 1 species